ensembl:lncRNA
AACGUCGUCUCUGAGCCUCAGUUUCUACAUCUGAAAAAUAGGGAAAAACAAUAGACGCCUCCCAGGGUCACUGAAAGAAUUAACAAGAUAACAUAUGCUAAGAGUUUCAAGGGCCACGGGAAGGAGAGGGAUCGGGGCCAUUACAUUUCAUCUUUAAAUUGACUUACCAUGGGUCUCGUCUACACUGGAAGGUGCAUGAGGUCAUCACAAAGCUACUGGGAAAUCGGGGAGCCAGGUCCAACAUCAGCUCCCUAAAUGGGUCUUCCCUGGUCACUGUGUUAGAAGCAGCCUCUCUUCCCCUCUCCUCGCCUCCGCCCGUCACCCUCGCCUCCAUCACGGAGUUGAUUUCUAUCAUAGUGCCCAUCACCACCCAGUGGAUGUCUGGGAGCCUGGGAGUCCAGGGGAGAGCAGAGAGCCUGGAAACGGAGGAAAUCCAGCGUGGAGAAGAGCAAUUUUGCUGUGAUGCUCUAUGUGCCCCACUAAAUACCCUCUCCACACCUGCCCUGCCAAGCCAGCGUGUACAGCAUCACGCUGUCGGAUUGUCCUCAAGAUGUUAUUGCCAGCCAGCAAGAUGGUGUUCAUUUGCAGCAGAAAAUAGCCUCACAGGCCGACCUGGAAGCUUAAUGGACUGCUGGAUCCUUGUCCUCUCUGAGGCUCAGAAAACACUUUGCACAAAAGGUUCACAGUGGGGCAAAGGCAGCAAUAUUCCAGCAGCAGGAUUUGUCUGACAUCCACAGGGGUCAGAACCAAAGUCACUCAGGGAUCUGACCUACGAUAGCCAAGGGUACCACUCCCUAGAUCAGCUCUGUCCAAUAGCACUUACAACAAAUGAAUCGGUUCUGUCCAGGACAUCAGCCCCCAGGCACAUGGCUAUUGAGCACUUGAAAUUCAAGCUGAUGUGACUGAAUUGAACUGAAUUUUCGAUUUUAUUUAAACUUGGGUUAGUUUACAAUGAAGUUGAAAUUGUAGCUAUUGUAUCAGACAGCACAGCCCUAGAUCAUUAAACCCUGUUCGUGCAAGUGCAGGGAGCUGCUGUAAAAUAUUUUCUGCCACCUCCUUCCCUUGAGUAGCACUGAAGUCACUGAAGAGAACACAUUCUAACAUCCACUUUGUUAAUCAUCAGCCACGACUUUCACCACUGCCAUUUAUGUCUAACGUUCAUUGUAUCAAUUAGUGAAGUCUCUGGUAUUGACCAAACAUCAAAGUCAUUGCCUCUGGAGUGUGGUCUCUCUGAUGCCUUGCUAGGGGAUCACCCACAGAGAGUGAAUUAUUGAUUAGAACAACUGACCACCAUGAAAACGGUGGUUGAAAUGAACACUGUCAGCCCUCCAUAUCCCACGGGUUCCGCGUCUGCAAGUUCAGCCAAACGCAGGGAGCAAACCUAAUCUACCGUCCAAAGGUGGUUGAACCCGUGGAUGCGGAACUGUGGAUAUGGAGAACUGACUCUGGGACUUAAGCAUCUGGGGAUUUUGGUAUCCACAGCGAGUCCUGGAACCAGUCCCCCAAGGAUACCCAAGGAUGACCGCCCAUC